UUGAGACAUACUCUCCUUGUCCUUUAAUUGUUUAUAAUUUAAUUUUCUUCUGCUUGAAAUUUUGUCCAUUAUAAGCUAUUUUCAUAUUUGUGAGAAAAUGAAAUCACAGAAUUUCAAAAUUUUGGGGACGAAGAUAUACAACCUUCCACCAAAUCCAGUUUUCUGGCAAUGGAAAUCAGAGAAACACUGUUCCUGAAAGCUUCUGUCACUCAAGAAUCCAUGAAACAUUCAUGAACUUCACAUCAGAAGCCAAGCCCAGAAAAUAUGGGUUUAAGGUUUGCCUAUAUGUCCAAUACAAGAGAAAAAAGAACAUUCCACUUCUUUAGAAGGUUCUACUUUGAUCUCCUGGAAGAUUUCUGUAUUUGUCUUCUUAACUCUUGAGUUUUGUUGUUGCUAAUAUUGGAUGAAGAGGAGACAAAAUGAUUGGAUCUAGAGGAGCACCGACAAGCAAAUGGCAGAGUCCUCAGAAGGGAAGAUAGUGUUAAUGUAGAAUUGAUAACACAGAAUGCACCACUGCUGUGAUCCUUAUAUCUUGGCUGGCCAUUACCCCUCCACUUGGAAAUGAAAAAGAUAAACUAAUUGAAGCAGUGAGAAGAGAAAAAGGGAGAGGAAGGUGCUAUUGUGGAGGUGCAUACCCAACAGUUUGAUAAUGUAGAGGAAGUGAUAGCUUUGUCUCGUGGAAUCUGGGUCGACCUCACAGAGGAGCUGUUAUUUGUUCUGGAUAUUGAACAGUGACAAGGAUUCAGUGGGAGAGAAAGAGGCGAGGAUUUUAAUGCAACUUGUUACACAAGAUGAACCCAAACAUAUUUGACUUUUUAUUUUCAGAAAAGCUUAAUACAUAGUUUUGAAUAUGGAUUGUCCCACAGGAUAAAUGCAUGAAAAAAGUUGGAAAAGAGAAAUUGAAUUACAUCCUAAUUGUAGUGUUUUCUCAGGCAGAUCAAUUUUAGAAAGAGAACAUUGACUUGGAAAACUGAAGAGUAAUUAUUCUAAAACGGUUGUAACAGUUUACUCCUUUUAUGUUUGCAAACUUCCAGGAUUAGUGAGUUGCAUAAAGUCACAUAAUUUAUUGCGUUGGUGCAAAAGUAAUUGUGGUUUUUGCCAUUAACAAAACCGCAAUUACUUUUGCAUCAGCCUAAUAUAAGUGAAUAAAUUAAUAUUAGAACACAGGUCUAAUUAAAAGGUUCUGCUGUGUUGUGUCCUGUGAUAACACAGAAAACAAACAAAUGGAUAAUUACAGAAAAAUUUUGGAUAUAAAAUUAGCAGGUAAUUUUCUCCCUCCUUUCCUUCCAUCUUUCCAUCCUUCUUUGCUUCCUUUGCUUUCUUCUUUUCCUUUGUUUUUUGUUUCUCUCUCUCUCUUUUUUUUUUUUUUUUUUUUUUUUUGCAAUUUGGAGAAGGAAGUACUUUAAAAGAAAAGUUAAAAGGCAGACAUAGAUAGCAUGAAGCCUAAUUGCAAGAUCUUUUUCAAACAUAUUAGUUUUAGGAAAUAGCACCUGAAUUUAAGUCCCUUAAAAUUGUCUAUGUCUUCACGUCCAAGUCUCUAUAUUUGCAGGGCUGUGUACAAUCUAGACUGAACAUGCUUGACCUAAAAACAGAAGUAAUACCUGGGGCAAAGCACGAUGUGCACCACAGUCUUCUCUCUUUAGUGUGUUAAGAUAAAGUUGAUUCCCAGAGUAGCCUGCCAUCACUAACUCUGAGGGAUGGUGGGCUAAUUUUGAUAGAAGGAGCAGAGGUGGUAGUUAGGAGGAAGGUGACUCAUCAUCAUUGUAUCAGCAGGCAUUGAUGACUGGAAAUAUCAGGGGGCACAGCCUGAAAGAGAAUGGCUUAAUUGGAAUUGAUAGUGGGAACUUGGAAAUCAAUACAUAUGCACUGAACAGAAAAUGGUAUGCUAUAAUCUACUAUACACUGUAUGUGAAACCCAAGCUCCAAAUUUUUCGGCCCAUGCAAUGUCCAGUAAAAUUUCUCUUAGUUACAUUAUAAUUGCAAUGUACAUGUAUUUGAGGAAAAAAAAAGUGAAAGAAAAAGUAACUAAAGAAAAGUGGAAAUGCAAAACUUUGUUUUUAUUAAUGUUAAAAUUUAUUUUGAUCAACUUGCUAUUCUUAAAAUUGACCAAUCUUCUUCCCUUCCUUGCCUCUUCCAUGGUUUAUAGGAUUAUUUUUCAGGGCUGAUCAGUUGGUGUUACAUGUGACUACUAUGCUUAAUGCUAUCUGGCUUCUAACUUUAAGCACUGAAAAAAAGUCCUUCGUAUUUCUCAGUGUGUGAUUGAACUGAGAUGACCAUCCUAAGCCUCCUCAUUACAUAAAUCCUUACCUUCUCCAGAAGCAACGAAUGGUGUUGAGAAUAGCAUAUGUUACUACUCAGCCAUAUUCCAUAGCCUUUUCUCCAAGAUAUUUUUCCAAAGUUGCCCCUUUUCUGAAUCCCUUGCAAGCAAACAAACAACAAAACAAUGGGUAAUAAAAUAAUUGUUUAACUUUCAUUUAUAUGCUCUGAGAUUGAUGUGAUUUUGAUAAAUAACUAUAUUAAAAGACAAAUGGGAGUGGUGAUUUUGUGAAAAGCCCAUGCCUCUGCCCAUGGAAUAUGUGGCUUGGCCUGGAGCUCUUAUUUUACUUAUAUAUUUCUAAGCAGAAUUAUUCAAGAAUGUCUCUUAUUACAGGUCUUGAAACUUGGACAGCCAACAGAAAGGAAGCUAAUAAAUAAAUUUGUCAGAACACGAUUCUCAGUUUCACUUAUUUUGAAUUAAAGGUAACCUGGAAAAUGGAUUAGGAAAACAGCCUAUAAUCAGAGGAGUGACCCCAGUGAGACCCUGUCAUUAAAACUUUAGUGUUGAGCCUGCAAACCUCUGUUCCUCUGAUUAGGCAAUUUACUCCAUUUCCACCUUUCUGUCUGCCAAAACAUUUAGUGGCAAAACAUUUUCUAAUUCUCUAGACUCAUAAAAUGUUGUUUUGAAAAAAAGUAAAACAGAAUGGAUUACCUUUUUAAGCUGUCUAUCAUAAUGUAAUCAGAAAACAUGAGGGAUUAAUAGAUAAUAUUGUAAAGAGGCAAAGGCAGCAGAUGUUAUUUAGAUGAGCAGAAGGUCACAGACCUCUGUUGAGGAUUGAAAGCUUGAGGUACGUGCCUUUGUUCCUCAGUGUGUGUGGAUCAGAGUGAUUACUGAUAUCAGUUAGCAACAUGGUGGAGGGGACAAACUGGGGCUGCAUUUUCACUAUGUUUAUUAUUGCUCAAGGUCAAAAAGUGACUGUGUAGUGCCUCAGUUUUUACAUCUUUGUGUUAUCAAUAUUUUUUUCUAUUACCUUACAAGUUUAUUUUGAUGCUGUAAUGAUGAGACAGUGUUUUGAAAAGUUCUAAAUAAAUAAAAGGGUAUUCUCUAACUUUUAAAUUCUGACUUUGAUAUUUUAAAACUAUAACAGAGUUUCAAAACAUAUGGAGAAAAAACCCAAAUAGAACUCAAAAGAGAAAUGGACAAAUCCGUAAUUUCCAUCAUUAUUAGGGAUUUCAACAUUCCUCUUCCAGUAAUUAAUAAAACAAGCAGACAGAAGUUUAGAAAAACUAUGCAAGACUUGAACAUACUGUUAACCAAAUUGGCCCAGUCCUCCAAUAGUGGAAAUAAAAUGAAAUACUAAAAUAGUCAAACAAAAGGAAGACAGGACAAGAGUUGAACAAGGAUAAAGAAUAGGUGUGACAAAUGAUACAAAUAACAAUCUGGUAAAGUGAAAACCAGCCAUAUCAAUAAUAUAGUAAAGGAAAAUAGUCUAAAUAGAACGGAAAUGUUUAAGAUUUGAAGACUGGAUAUAAACCAAGCUUCAAUGUGAUGAUAUAUACAAGACAGAUAUUAUAAACAUAAAGAUAUAAAAAAUUAAAAAUAAAAGUGUGAAAAUCUAUAUGAUACAAACACUAACCAUAAGAAUGCUGGAGUGGCAUAUUAUAUCAGACAAAGAGAGUAUUAAAGUAGAUAUAGAAGAACAUUACAUAUUGAUAAAAGAAAAUGCCAGUUAGGUCAAGUUAUUGAUGGUAUUUAUCA
rnacentral:lncRNA from 1 species